GCGCCUGUAGCUCAGGGGAUAGAGCAACGGACUUCUAAUCCGUUGGCCGCUGGUUCGAUUCCAGCCAGGCGCACCA
rnacentral:tRNA from 1 species